UCCGUAGGGGGCAAGCGUUAUCCGGAUUUACUGGGUGUAAAGGGAGCGUAGACGGCUAGACAAGUCUGAAGUGAAAAUCCAGCGCUUAACGUUGGAAGUGCUUUGGAAACUGCCGGGCUAGAGUGCAGGAGGGGCAGGCGGAAUUCCUAGUGUAGCGGUGAAAUGCGUAGAUAUUAGGAGGAACACCAGUGGCGAAGGCGGCCUGCUGGACUGCAACUGACGUUGAGGCUCGAAGGCGUGGGGAGCAAACAGG
rnacentral:rRNA from 1 species